CUUGGUCAUUUAGAGGAAGUAAAAGUCGUAACAAGGUCUCCGUUGGUGAACCAGCGGAGGGAUCAUUAUCGAGUUUAUCCAACUCCCAACCCUAUGUGAACCUACCUUUAUGUUGCUUCGGCGGUCUCGCGCCGGGCUGCUCCCCUAGGGGGCUCCCGGGACCACGCGUCCGCCGGAGACCACAAACUCUUGAUUUUGCGAAAGCAGUAUUAUUCUGAGUGGCCGAAAGGCAAAAAACAAAUGAAUCAAAACUUUCAACAACGGAUCUCUUGGUUCUGGCAUCGAUGAAGAACGCAGCGAAAUGCGAUAAGUAAUGUGAAUUGCAGAAUUCAGUGAAUCAUCGAAUCUUUGAACGCACAUUGCGCCCGCCAGCAUUCUGGCGGGCAUGCCUGUUCGAGCGUCAUUUCAACCCUCGAGCUCGUCUUCAUUGACGAGAUCGGUGUUGGGACCCGGCGAGCGGGGACUCAUGUCCCCUGCCGGCCCCGAAAUUCAGUGGCGGCCCGUUGCGGCGACCUCUGCGUAGUAACUUAACCUCGCACUGGGACAGCAGCGCGGCCACGCCGUAAAACCCCCGACUUUUUAAGGUUGACCUCGAAUCAGGUAGGACUACCCGCUGAACUUAAGCAUAUCAAUAAGCGGAGGA
rnacentral:rRNA from 1 species